rnacentral:rRNA from 1 species
CCUACGGGGGGCAGCAGUGGGGAAUAUUGCGCAAUGGGCGAAAGCCUGACGCAGCGACGCCGCGUGAGGGAUGAAGGUCUUCGGAUCGUAAACCUCUGUCAGCAGGGAAGAACGGUCACUGUGCUAAUCAGCAGUGAAUUGACGGUACCUGCAAAGGAAGCACCGGCUAACUCCGUGCCAGCAGCCGCGGUAAUGAGGAGGGUGCGAGCGUUAAUCGGAAUUACUGGGCGUAAAGCGCGCGUAGGCGGUAUGUCAAGUCAAGGGUGAAAUCCCCGCGCUCACCGUGGGAACUGCCUUUGAAACUGGCAAACUGGAGUGUGUGAGAGGUGAGUGGAAUUCCAGGUGUAGGGGUGAAAUGCGUAGAUAUCUGGAGGAACAUCAGUGGCGAAGGCGACUAUCUGGCACAUAACUGACGCUGAGGAGCGAAAGCGUGGGUAGCAAACAGGAUUAGAUACCCGGGUAGUC